UACAUGGGGUGCAAACGUUGCUCGGAAUUAUUGGGCGUAAAGCGCACGUAGGCGGUUUGUUAAGUCGGAUGUGAAAUCCCUCGGCUCAACUGAGGAAGUGCAUCCGAAACUGGCAGGCUUGAGUACUAAAGAGGGUCGCGGAAUUCCCGGUGUAGAGGUGAAAUUCGAUAGAUAUCGGGAGGGAACACCGGUGGCGAAGGCGGCGACCUGGGUAGAUACUGACGCUGAGGUGCGAAAGCGUGGGGAGCAAACAGG
rnacentral:rRNA from 1 species